rnacentral:rRNA from 2 species
AAGUGCGAUCAUACUAGCACUAAUGCAUUGGAUCCAAUCAGAACUCCGCAGUUAAGCAUGCUUGGGCGAGAGUAUUACUAGGAUGGGUGACCUCUAGGGAAGUCCUCGUGUUGCACCUC